rnacentral:rRNA from 1 species
GGAUUAGAUACCCCACUAUGCUUAGUAGUAAACCCAGGCAACCGCACCCAACCCCCUUGCCCGCCAGAAGACUACAAGUGAUAAGCUUGAAACUCAAAAGACUUGACGGUGCCCCACAUCACCCUAGAGGAGCCUGUCCUAUAAUCGAUGACCCCCGUUUUACCUCACCUGCCCUAGAACACAAACUUCAGCCUAUAUACCGCCGCCUUCAGCCCACCUUAUGAAAGAACCUAAGUGAGCCCAAUAGCCCCCACUAAAACGCCAGGUCAAGGUGUAGCUUACGCGCAGGAAGAGAUGGGCUACAUUAUCUACCCAAGAACAUCACCACCAGCGCCAUGAAACGGGCGCCAAAAGGCGGAUUUAGCAGUAAACCGAGCAAGCCUGCCCGCUUGAACCCUGCCCUGGAGCACGUACACACCGCCCGUCAC